GCCAGCGUGGCGGAGUGGUUUGAACAUCAGGCUACAACUCUGGAGAGCCAGGGUUCAAAUCCCAGCCCAGCCA